rnacentral:rRNA from 1 species
UACGUAGGGUGCGAGCGUUGUCCGGAAUUACUGGGCGUAAAGAGCUCGUAGGUGGUUUGUCGCGUUGUUCGUGAAAACUCACAGCUCAACUGGUGGCUUGCUUUCGAUACGGGCAGACUGGAGGUAUGCAGGGGAGAACGGAAUUCCUGGUGUAGCGGUGAAAUGCGCAGAUAUCAGGAGGAACACCGGUGGCGAAGGCGGUUCUCUGGGCAUGUCCUGACGCUGGAG